rnacentral:rRNA from 1 species
AGCGAACGCUGGCGGCAGGCCUAAUACAUGCAAGUCGAACGCACCUUCGGGUGAGCGGCGGACGGGUGAGUAACGCGUGGAACGUGCCCUUUGGUUCGGAACAACACAGGGAAACUUGUGCUAAUACCGAAUGUGCCCUUCGGGGGAAAGGAUUUAUCGCCAUUGGAGCGGCCCGCGUUGGAUUAGGUAGUUGGUGGGGUAAAGCCUACCAAGCCUACGAUCCAUAGCUGGUCUGAGAGGANGAUCAGCCACACUGGGACUGAGACACGGCCCAGACUCCUACGGGAGGCAGCAGUAGGGAAUCUUGCGCAAUGGGCGAAAGCCUGACGCAGCCAUGCCGCGU